GCCAGCAGCCAUAUCACUCUAUAACUCCCAGCUGGCCGCCCACUGAAGCUCAGCAGGUGUGAGCCUGGCCAGUACCUGGAUGGGAGACUCCUGGGAGAAACUAAGGCUGCUGCUGGAA
rnacentral:rRNA from 1 species